GCUCCGAUAGCUCAGUUGGUUACAGCGCCGUACUCACAAUGCGGAGUUCUAGAAUUCGAGCCCCUUUCAGAACA
rnacentral:tRNA from 1 species